AGUUUUUUCCAUUUUUCAUUUUAAAACAUGAACAGUACAAAAAAGAUGGGCGAAGCACACAAAUUGUAAAACAUUGCGACAUCCAUGAGCUUAUGGAAAGUGCUGCAUGUGUGGUUUCUUUGCUGCCUCACAAAUGCAUGUGUGGAUGUAGUCCUUGAUAAUAUCAUUGAUGUGUGUUAUUCUUUUUUCAGGCAAAGGGCAGAAUUGUGGUAGUGCCAGGAGGUGGCAUCACGGAGCGCAACCUGCAGAGGAUUCUGGAAGGCUCCACUGCUUCUGAGUUUCACUGCUCUGCUCGCUCAGCUCGGGACUCAGGAAUGAAGUUCAGAAAUCCCAACGUUGC